GGGGGUGUUCCCGAGUGGCCAAAGGGGACGGGCUGUAAACCCGUUGGCUCUGCCUUCGGAGGUUCGAAUCCUCCCGCCCCCA
rnacentral:tRNA from 1 species